UACAGAGGUCCCAAGCGUUGUUCGGAUUCACUGGGCGUAAAGGGUGCGUAGGUGGCGGGGUAAGUCGGAUGUGAAAGCUCGGAGCUCAACUCCGAAAUGGCAUUGGAAACUACCUUGCUCGAGGGUUGGAGGGGGGACUGGAAUUCUCGGUGUAGCAGUGAAAUGCGUAGAUAUCGAGAGGAACACCAGUGGCGAAGGCGAGUCCCUGGACAACUCCUGACACUGAGGCACGAAAGCUAGGGGAGCAAACAGG
rnacentral:rRNA from 1 species